rnacentral:antisense_RNA from 1 species
CUUCACGGAGCCGAGCCACAGGGGCUCGGCGCCGCGGCCCUGGCCGUAGGUGGCGAGGAGUGCCUGGGCCUC